rnacentral:rRNA from 1 species
AUGAACGCUGGCGGCGUGCCUAAUACAUGCAAGUCGAGCGAACGGACGAGAAGCUUGCUUCUCUGAUGUUAGCGGCGGACGGGUGAGUAACACGUGGAUAACCUACCUAUAAGACUGGGAUAACUUCGGGAAACCGGAGCUAAUACCGGAUAAUAUUUUGAACCGCAUGGUUCAAAAGUGAAAGACGGUCUUGCUGUCACUUAUAGAUGGAUCCGCGCUGCAUUAGCUAGUUGGUAAGGUAACGGCUUACCAAGGCAACGAAGCAUAGCCGACCUGAGAGGGUGAUCGGCCACACUGGAACUGAGACACGGUCCAGACUCCUACGGGAGGCAGCAGUAGGGAAUCUUCCGCAAUGGGCGAAAGCCUGACGGAGCAACGCCGCGUGAGUGAUGAAGGUCUUCGGAUCGUAAAACUCUGUUAUUAGGGAAGAACAUAUGUGUAAGUAACUGUGCACAUCUUGACGGUACCUAAUCAGAAAGCCACGGCUAACUACGUG